AUUAAAGCGGUACGCGAGCUGGGUUCAGAACGUCGUGAGACAGUUCGGUCCCUAUCCGUCGUGGGCGUAGGAAAUUUGAGAGGAGCUGUCCUUAGUACGAGAGGACCGGGAUGGACAUACCUCUGGUGUACCAGUUGUCGUGCCAACGGCAUAGCUGGGUAGCUAUGUAUGGACGGGAUAAGUGCUGAAAGCAUCUAAGCAUGAAGCCCCCCUCGAGAUGAGAUUUCCCAACUUCGGUUAUAAGAUCCCUCAAAGAUGAUGAGGUGAAUAGGUUCGAGGUGGAAGCGUAGUGAUACGUGGAGCUGACGAAUACUAAUCGAUCGAAGACUUAAUCAACAU
rnacentral:rRNA from 1 species